rnacentral:rRNA from 1 species
UACGUAGGGUGCAAGCGUUGUCCGGAAUUAUUGGGCGUAAAGAGCUCGUAGGUGGCUUGUCACGUCGGGUGUGAAAGCUUGGGGCUUAACUCCAGGUCUGCAUUCGAUACGGGGCUGGCUAGAGGUAGGUAGGGGAGAACGGAAUUCCUGGUGUAGCGGUGAAAUGCGCAGAUAUCAGGAGGAACACCGGUGGCGAAGGCGGUUCUCUGGGCCUUACCUGACGCUGAGGAGCGAAAGCGUGGGGGAGCGAACAGG